UCCAACUUACUUCAACAUGACAGAGCGGAGAGGGUAUGCAGUACAUUCACAGGAUAAUUGACUGCAACAGGAAAUAAACACUCUAAGUCUCCCUUCAUAUCAAAUAUAAUUCAAAAGUUAAGUGACUACUGAUGUACCCUUACAAAAGUAUUACCAGAGAGGUGAAUAACAUGAUCUCAGCAAGGUGUUAAACACCAAGUUUGAGAGUGAAGGCCUGACUGUGUAUUGUAACACUGCUGUUGAUUCAGCCCUGAUGUUCCACUGUUUGAAGUUGCAUCAAGAGACCUGAUCAGUGAAAAAUAUAGAACAAAUAAUAGGAAGCAGUCCCUGAGGAAGGAAUCAUAUAACUAAACCUUAGUGAUUAUAUCAUUCUUUUCAUAAGCCAUGUCACAAGUCUCAAAUGUCUGGUAAAUAAAUGUUAACUUCUAAAUUUCA
rnacentral:lncRNA from 1 species